rnacentral:lncRNA from 1 species
AGCCCACACUUGAAGCACUUGCCCUCCCGCUACUCAUACUGUUGUGGGUAGUGAGGGCCUCCACAAAUAACACAUCUCGCCGAGGACCUAACGUGGUAAGUCCCCGGAGCUCGGGAUCGCGAGCGCGAACUCAUCGAAGUUCGUUGGGAACUUGACUGACCGUCAUGCCCGCUCACCGGCCGUCCUUUCCCCUUUUCCUUGUAAUAUGCCUCGCGCCCCUCCCGCAGAGAUUCCUCGCCUUGCUUUAUCCACAAGGCCCGAUCUAGGACCUCAGAAAAAGUCUGCAAC